UUCGGCGGGCCCGCCUCACGGCCGCCGGGGGGCUUCUGCCCUCUGGCCCGCGCCCGCCGAAGACACCAUUGAACGCUGUCUGAAGGUUGCAGUCUGAGCAAUUAGCUAAAUAAGUUAAAACUUUCAACAACGGAUCUCUUGGUUCCGGCAUCGAUGAAGAACGCAGCGAAAUGCGAUACGUAAUGUGAAUUGCAGAAUUCAGUGAAUCAUCGAGUCUUUGAACGCACAUUGCGCCCCCUGGUAUUCCGGGGGGCAUGCCUGUCCGAGCGUCAUUGCUGCCCUCAAGCACGGCUUGUGUGUUGGGCCUCCGUCCUCCUCCCGGGGGACGGGCCCGAAAGGCAGCGGCGGCACCGCGUCCGGUCCUCGAGCGUAUGGGGCUUCGUCACCCGCUCUUGUAGGCCCGGCCGGCGCUUGCCGACACAUCAAUCUUUUUUCCAGGUUGACCUCGGAUCAGGUAGGGAUACCCGCUGAACUUAAGCAUAU
rnacentral:rRNA from 1 species